CCUACGGGAGGCAGCAGUGAGGAAUAUUGGACAAUGGGCGCAAGCCUGAUCCAGCCAUGCCGCGUGCAGGAUGACGGUCCUAUGGAUUGUAAACUGCUUUUGUACAGGAAGAAACACUGGUUCGUGAACCAGCUUGACGGUACUGUAAGAAUAAGGAUCGGCUAACUCCGUGCCAGCAGCCGCGGUAAUACGGAGGAUCCAAGCGUUAUCCGGAAUCAUUGGGUUUAAAGGGUCCGUAGGCGGUUUAAUAAGUCAGUGGUGAAAGCCCAUCGCUCAACGGUGGAACGGCCAUUGAUACUGUUAGACUUGAAUUAUUAGGAAGUAACUAGAAUAUGUAGUGUAGCGGUGAAAUGCUUAGAGAUUACAUGGAAUACCAAUUGCGAAGGCAGGUUACUACUAAUUGAUUGACGCUGAUGGACGAAAGCGUGGGUAGCGAACAGGAUUAGAUACCCUGGUAGUCCACGCCGUAAACGAUGGAUACUAGCUGUGGUAGANAUUACUAGUGGUGUAGACGAAGUAGAGUAAGUAAGUACCGACCGUCGGGUAGGUACGGUUCGGUCGAAGAAGUUAGUAAACGUUAACUUAAAUAAGUUAAGUUAGGUUACGGCGUUGAGACGUUGCCGACGGACGACCGACGAGGGGAGGUUAGG
rnacentral:rRNA from 1 species